UCCGUAGGGUGCAAGCGUUGUCCGGAAUUAUUGGGCGUAAAGAGCUCGUAGGCGGUUCGUCGCGUCGGCUGUGAAAACCCGGAGCUCAACUCCGGGCCUGCAGUCGAUACGGGCGGACUGGAGUGUUGCAGGGGAGACUGGAAUUCCUGGUGUAGCGGUGAAAUGCGCAGAUAUCAGGAGGAACACCGGUGGCGAAGGCGGGUCUCUGGGCAACUACUGACGCUGAGGAGCGAAAGCGUGGGGAGCGAACAGG
rnacentral:rRNA from 1 species